AUGUAGGGCGGGGAGCUCAGUACCAUAUAUCAGCACGGGGGAGGAGGCUAAACUGGACUCGUGGGUCCGGAGCAUCUGACGUGGAACUGAAAAAUAAAGAAUGGGAUGCCAGGGCGGGAAGCUGGCCCAUCCCUCAGUUUCCUCAUCCAGAGAAGGGAUGCGUGAUCCCAGGAGGAGGCCUCCGAUGAUGUCAAGUGGGUGGAGGAAAUUACGAAACAAGGUACUUUGAGCCUCCCAGCGGGAAAUUGGGGUAAAUUCCUGAUAUCCGGUACUGCGUGCUUUUCUUGGUAGAGGCAUAAUUGAGGCAAGGUGGCAAAUGGUGCAAAACAGGCCCUCCUGGGGGACCUAGCAGGCUGCUAGUGACUGGAUGAUGGGGGGUGGUCUCCAGCCAGCCCCCACUUCCUGGGCCCCCUCUGAGCCUCAGUUUCUCCUUCUAGGAGGAGCAGGCUGGAUGUGACGGCUGCAGACACCUGCUGGCUUUCAGGAGAUUCCUCUCUGCUCCACCACAGGUGAGGAUGGGGGACACAGAAAAAAGGCCCCUUGUCAUUUUCUUGCCAGGAGAGAAAGGAAGGUGAGUCGUCCACAAGCUUGGCCCCAAGUGGAGCUUAAGGAGUCGCAGCUGGGAGGCCAUAUGGGGAAGUGCGUGGGUGGCUCGGCCUUUCCUGCCUCUCACUCUCGGUCGGGCCAAGUUCAGGAGAGUCCUCCUUUUCCCCCUGCCAGAGUAUCGGCUCACCACCCCCUCCUUUCUGCCUGCCCCUUCCCUCCCUCCAGACAGCAGGCAGCCCAGCUCCGUGGCAGGGCAGCAAGCCUCACUGUGGGAAGGGGACCGCCUCGGGUCUCCCCAGUGUCUGGGGGGUCUGCUGCUAAUUGGAUUGUAAAAGAUGAUCCCUCUGCACAGCUGUCUGCAAGCCAGGCCCCAGUGACACAGGGUAAAUUAAAUACAGACAAUGGGGCGGGGUUACCUGCUGAAGCUCUGUGCCAGGCUCAGACCCCAGAAGUCAGAGAGGACGGUGGCACUGAGAUGGGAGAGGAGCUGAGGCAAGGAGGAACCUCACCAAGUGCCCCAUCGGGCGCUGAGAUGGCCCCUCCCCUGCAGGCCUGCUCACAGCCCCUGGCCCUGGGCAUCUGGAAAUCAAAGCGUCCUGACCCUCUUUACCACAAUGCUCCCUGGGGCUGCUGAGCAGCUGAGCUGAGGAUGCCCUGGGCCUGCCAUCCCAUGAGGGCCCCCCCUUGCAGAGUGGAGCCCAUGGCCGGGUCCUGCUGCCCACCAUGGACUCUCACUCAGUCAUUCAAGCAUCACUUAUCCACUCAGAAUAUCCAGCAGUCUGUCUCUAAGCUGAGCACUAGGAAUAAAGAGAUGGUGUGGACAAGGCGGCAGCUCUCCUCCCACGUUUGCCACCCCAUCCACCCCGCCCCCCCGGCCAGAGUAAUAGAACUGAUUUCAGCUGGCACAUGUUCACCCACAAUGAAAGCUACAUCUUCCAGCCUCCCUUGCAGCUAGACAUGGCCAUGUGAUUACACUCUGGCCAAUCAGAUGAAGCAGAGUGUGGCGGCCCUUCCUUCAAACAACAACACAGUUGAUCCUGGCUUUCUGCCCUUCCCUCUCAGAGAUCUUCUUUCCUGCUGACUGGGAUGGAGAUGUAAGGGCCGGUGCUGAAGUGGCCACCGUGAGCAAGGUGGCUCUGGACAAAGAGGACCUAUGUGGACACUCAGAUAGAACAGAAGCUAGCCUCCAUUUCAAGCCUCGCUGUUUCCCCAUCACACGUUCUGGUUAUCGCCGGACAAGUUCCUCACUUGUAAGACCAGCAAAGACAGUUACUCAACCCAAGAUGCUUAAGGAAGCCCCCCAGGAUCAACGUGGUCACCCCAUCCUGCUGCCCUGAGGGUCGUCCAGUUCGGCAGACACUGGCCCAGUGCCUCCUGCUCCUGGCACUGGGAAUGCCAAGAGGCUUCAAGGUGACCACUGCCCUCGCAGCCAUCCUUGGUCAGAGGGUGUCCAGCCACGUCCGACAGCAGGCUCAGCCCGACGAUGGGCGUGGUGUGCAGGACGGUCCACGGGCCUCCACCCGGGAACUCCGUGGUAAAGAUGUGACUCAGGAAACAGGAGUGAGCGGCCACGCUCAGGCCACCUCCGAUGCCUUCUUCUCCGUGGAUCAUUGAAUUACAUGCAUAUUUCAGUGAAGAUGAUUAUCUCCUUGCUGGUUUCGGAAGAUGUAUUUAGGGGAGGUAUUUCAAUUCUGUUGUCAUUUAAAACUAAAAAUCAAAACAUCAUUUUUGAUGUCCAGGGUUCUUUCUUCCGCCGAAAUACACACUGUGGUGUGUUACAAUCAUGUCUCCACCAUUUGCGCCUUAGAUGUACUUGUAG
ensembl:lncRNA